UGCCCGGCGCCCAGGGGCAGCCCGGCACCCUUCCGGCUCCACCGCCCAGCGCGCGCUGGCAGCGCUGUCCGCCUCCGGGGCCCCGCAGCCCACGCUCUGUCCACUCACGGGCCUCGGCGCCAGCACCCUCCGUCCCGCCGGGCAGGUGUCCUCGCCACCAUGCGCUCGCUCGGGGAGCAGGUGCGCGACUGGCACCGGGGCGCGGAGGCUGUGGCGCGUGGGAACUGGGGCGGUGCGCUGCGCCUCUUCUCGGGCGUCACGAAGAUGCCCUCCAGGAUGAGCUUCAACGUGGGCUGCGUGCAUCUGCUGGCCGGGGAUCCCGAGGCCGCGCUGAGGGCGUUUGACCAAGCAGUGACCAAGGACACCUGCAUGGCUGUUGGCUUCCUCCAGCGGGGCGUGGCUCACUUCCAGCUGGAGCGGUUCCAGGAGGCUCUGUCUGACUUCCAGCUGGCCCUGGCGCAGCUGCGGGGUAACAGCGUCAUUGACUACACCCAGCUGGGCCUGCGCUUCAGGCUGCAGGCCUGGGAGGUACUGUACAACGUGGCAUCUGCACAGUGCCAGCUAGGACUCUGGGCUGAGGCUGCUGACACCCUGGCUGAGGCUGUGUCCAGGUGGCCAGAGAAGGCACAGGAGGGUCUGACUGCAGCCCUGUACCAAGUGCAGAAGCAGGCUCCUCUGCAGCCGAGGCAGGUUCCCCCAGGCGAGGUCUUCCGGCCCCACAGGAGGUACCUGGAGCACCUGGAGCCCAUGGACUUCCUGGGCAAGGCCAAGGUGGUGGUCCCUGCCAUCCCUGACGACCGGCCCGCAGGUGUCCAGCCCCCACAGGCCCCAAGCCUUGGACCCCAGAGGAGCUUGGAGCCCAGAGGAGCCAGAACCCAUGACAGCUCCCAAGCUGCAGCAAGGGAAGCCAGCUCUGACCCCACUGGGCGGGCUGACUGCUGCCUGCCCGUCACCUCCCAGGACACGAGGUCCCAGGUGGCGCCAGCUGGCAAACCGGGCCCUCGGUCUACAGGGCUGCCUGGGCCGGGCCCCUCCCAGGACCCUGUGAGCACCAGGGGAGCAGCUGCGCACUCUGAGGACUCUGCAAUGGUCACCGUGCAGUGCACCCUCACCGUGGGACUGCAGGCCCCCCGAGGAGCCGGGCUGGCCAGCCUUCGGGCUCUGCUGGCUGAGGCCCUCCCUGCCCAGGCCCGGCAGGCCCAGCUCAGUUACUGGGCCCCAGAGGAUGGCAAGCUCUGGGUCCCCAUCCCCGGGGAGGACACGCUGCAGAAGGCAUGGAGGGAUGCGGCAUCCAGCCCCCGAGGGCUGCGGCUCCAGUGCCGGGGGGCUGGGGGCCGGCCGGUGCUGUACCAGGUGUUGGCCCAGCACGACUAUUUGGCCCAGAGCCCUGAGGACCUGGACCUCCGCCGCGGGGACUUGGUGGACGUCCUGGGUGAAGUGGAUGAGGCCUGGCUGGAGGGGCACCGGGACGGCAACGUCGGCAUCUUCCCCAAGAGCUUUGUGGUUCCAGCCAGCGGAGAGGUGCCUGCCCCGGCCCCAGGUCCCCAGCAGGAAGACUGGCUCUGAGCAGUUCUUGUGGCAGAAGGUUUAAUAAAGACAGUGCUACUCUGCAACCACCACAGUCUGCUUUGAUGAGGCCUGGCCUAGUCCCGGAGCCAGAAGAGAUGGACUGCAGCAGCCCCGAGAACGGCCAGCAGGCGCCUGCCCUGCUGCUGCCCACUGCACCAUCCCAUCCGGUCCUGAGAAACCCCAUGAGACAGGGAGGGGCUGGGACAGAGAACGGGUCACCCACCAGCUUCCAG